UACGUAGGUGGCAAGCGUUGUCCGGAUUUACUGGGCGUAAAGAGCGCGCAGGCGGUCGUUCAAGUCGCGUGUGAAAGCCCCCGGCUCAACUGGGGAGGGUCACGCGAUACUGAUCGACUCGAAGGCAGGAGAGGGAAGUGGAAUUCCCGGUGUAGUGGUGAAAUGCGUAGAUAUCGGGAGGAACACCAGUGGCGAAGGCAGCUCUCUGGGACGGUACUGACGCUGAGACGCGAAAGCGUGGGGAGCGAACAGG
rnacentral:rRNA from 1 species